CCCUUAGAUGUUCUGGGCCGCACGCGCGCUACACUGAUGCAUUCAACGAGUCUACAACCUGGUCUGAUAGGGCUGGGUAAUCUUUUGAAUGUGCAUCGUGAUUGGGAUAGAUGAUUGCAAUUCUUCAUCUUCAACGAGGAAUGCCUAGUAAACGCAAGUCAUCAGCUUGCAUUGAUUACGUCCCUGCCCUUUGUACACACCGCCCGUCGCUCCUACCGAUUGGGUGUGCUGGUGAAAUGUUCGGAUCGGCCGUUUGUCGCGGUUUCCGCGUCAUGUGGCUGAGAAGUUCAUUAAACCCUCCCACCUAGAGGAAGGAGAAGUCGUAACA
rnacentral:rRNA from 1 species